rnacentral:lncRNA from 1 species
CGGCGGGGAGCCGGUGGGGAUGGCGAAGACUGGUGCGAAGAGUGCUUGGAGUCAGAUAGGGUACCGAUGGGGGUGGCUAAACUCUUAGGCAGAAGAAGGGCGCCAAUUCUCAGGCGAAGUGAAGCCCCUGAAGGAAAGGAGGGGGCUUAAAUAAGCGACAGGGCCUGGCGCAGUUAUGGUGGCAGAUAUCCCUAGGUCAACCAGUGCCCGCCACGUGUCCCACUCAUCGCGGCGUAGGGCUGACCGUUG